UACAGAGGGGGCAAGCGUUAUUCGGAAUUAUUGGGCGUAAAGGGCGCGUAGGCGGCCAGGCAAGUGGAAGGUGAAAUCCCUCGGCUUAACCGAGGAACUGCCCUCCAAACUGCUUGGCUUGAGACCGGGAGAGGUGAGUGGAAUUCCCAGUGUAGCGGUGAAAUGCGUAGAUAUUGGGAAGAACACCGGUGGCGAAGGCGGCGAGCUGGUCCAUUACUGACGCUGAGGCGCGACAGCGUGGGGAGCAAACAGG
rnacentral:rRNA from 1 species